UGCAGUGAGAAGUGUGUAGAAGGCUGUGAGUGUGACGCUGGCUUCAUCCUCAGUGACAACAAAUGUGUUCCUGUUAAAGACUGCGGCUGUGUGGACUCCUCGGGCUCCUACCACCCAGUAAAUGAGAGCUGGUAUCUGGAGGGCUGUACGCAGAAUUGUACAUGUGAGGGUGGAGAAAAUAUUCACUGUUAUGACACCAGCUGUCCUCCUAAUGAGAGCUGCCAGCUUCAAGAUGGAGACUAUGUCUGCAAACCAAGCGUGAACUGCCCUCCAGACUCUGAGUACAUUGAUUGCGGCCC